UAGAAAUAUUAAAUUAUCUUGACAAAUGUAAUAUUAUUAUGACAAAGAACAACCAAAAGUUUUAAAUUCACAACUCAAUAAUAAUUUAAUGCGAUUUAAAUUGUUUAUGUAGUUUUCUAAUAUGUUUAUUUAUGUAAAUGCUGUGUGUGUGCUGCGGGUGCUGCCCCUUUAAAUCCGUUGGAGUGACGUGCGUUACCAUGGAAACGAGGCUACUAGGAACAAUAGAAAGCGGCAAAGCUCCGCGUCUCAUGGUUUUCUUCACUUUUUCAGGAGUGACAAAAUAACCCCUCUAUAAUAAAAAGGAAGCUCAAGAUUUCAGCAUUUUCGAAGGGAGCUGCUGACAGAGAUGUUGAAAACUCAGAUUUGUCCAUGCUGAUGGCCAUGCAGCAGAGUUCAAGCAAACCUGUCAGAAAACAUCUCUAAGGGGCUAUGUAUGAACCAUAUGGCUAGAUACCCAUACAGGUUACAGAAGCUCCAGUAUGGAUCCAGCCUCACUUGUAAAGACUUCAGAUGACGCAUACACUCUCAGAGACUUCAGAUGAUGGCAACUAGAUGGACAUACAAAACUGACAAACAUUAUAUAUAUUGCACUCACUGCCUCAAAGCAUAAGUUUGCAGAUUUUCAACCCACGUUAUAUUUUUAAAAUAAAUUGGGGUAUUUGAAUGGACAAUGUUUACGAGUUAAACUUUAAUUCCCAAUGAGUUCUUGACAAUACUCUGCCAGAUGAUAUAUUACAUAUAUUACAGACAUUGUAACAAUACAAAGUGGGUUGGAAAUCUGUAAACUUCCUCUAUAAUCAUAAUUUUCUGUUUAACUGAGCAUGACGUGAAACACAUGACUUGUAUUAUCUUAGAGCUAUAUGAUUGCUAAAUGAACCUUACUUUACUUUGUUACUUAAUGAGAUAAAUGCUUAUCUCUAGUUCCACAGACAAGGCUUAAGCCUAUAAUCCUAGACUAAGACACAUGUUUGAGCUGUCUCAAUUGAAAAGAACUUUCAAUGCGAGAUUUUAAAAUAAGCCAGUGCCAGUGAUUUUUCUUUAAAAAAAAAUUCUAAGGCAUGUUUAUUAAAGAUAUUUAAACAUCUUAUUUUAACUAAGGCAUAGUCUAGCUUUAGCUAAGCCUUGUCUGUGAAAUCAGGCCUUUGUGCAUUUUCUUAAUGCAUUAAGAUAGGUAAGUUGAAUUAUAAGAUUAAAUUCGGUUUACACUUUAUUGGUAAAACAUACCAAGCAGAUUAGCCCACAAAAUAAACCAAAUGCAGUUUGGUUGACUAUUUGACUAUUAGAUUACGUUAUCAAAACGUUUUUGCAACGUUGUGAAAAUAUGUAUUUAUAACGUUCAAAAAACCCGAUAUUUGGUCGUAUUAAGUACGUCGGAAAAUAACGUUAUCACAUUCUUUUCACAACGUGGAAAAAAAAAACGUUUUUAUAACGUUUUUGUGUUUGCUGGGAUGAUACAGUGCUUUAAAUAGAUUAAUGGUAUAUGGUACAGUCUUCUUUAGCUUAAAGGUAAAUAUAACAGUGAAUGAAGAUUAUUCUUAAACUGUGUUUAGAUGUAGUUUAAUAUAGUUUAGAGUAUCAGUGAAGCAAGUUUGAGAGAUUUCUACAUAAAAUCUAUUAUAUGUAAAAAAUAUAAUCUUAAUAUCUUUAAUAAGGUAACAUUUUUAAAUAAGGUCUAUCUCUAUUUACAGUUGUAUUAUGCCACAUUUAACCUCCUAAGACCUGGAUGUCACAUAUGUGGACAUUAAUGUUUUUGUUGUUUGCACCAUAACACUUAAUUCUGUGUGACUGGAACCUGUUAUACACAAACAUGAACAAAUAAACUGCUUUAUGUUCAAAGAAAAAUAUUUGGUUAUUAUAUUUAUUGGAUCCCCAAAAUAGCUUGUGGAAAUUUGAAAAAAAGACAAACCAAAGCUCGGGUUCAGGAGGUUAAUUUAGGCUUUAUGAUAUCUAACCAAAUAUAGGAGAUUGUUGAAUAAAAUUGGUUUGGGGCAGACAAAAUAAUUUUGGUAGUGGAAACAUUUUUUAAGAUCUUUUCCUCUCAUCUCAUUCAGUAUUUUUGUCCACCAACAUGACCCUUUCUGUGGUGGUUCUUCGUGAGUCAACAUGUCAAAUGUCCUUUAAUGUGUUUGGGAAUGAAUAUUAAGUAGUGUUUAGUGAAUUUAACCCUGCAGUAAACCCAGCAAUAUGUAACUCUGUUGAUGCUUUAACUGCUGUAAGGGAUGAGGGAUUAUUAUCUAACUUAAUGUCUGUUUUUGACUGACUGCCUGUGUUUAAAUAUUUGAUAUGUGUGAAGGAUUUUGAGCAAUAAAAAAACUUUCGUAUGUAUCAUGCAUUAAAAUAUAUGACCUUUGAUGCUUUUUGGUGAUUUAAAUA